rnacentral:lncRNA from 1 species
ACACAUGAUAAUGUGUGUAAAUGCAAUGAAACAAAAAUAAAAGAGUGUAUCACACAUUAGAUUAACAAGGAAUAUUUACCAAGAUUUUUGGAAACUAACUUGAAAAAAAUGCUUGGAAGGUAAAACUUGAUCUUUAGAGAAAACAACGAUGUAAAAAAUGUUAAACUGAUGAAAUUCGAAGGGUGGUUGGAGGAGUUCUUGGAACGAGUUAAAUAGAGGGAAAAUAGGGUAGGGUGAAGUGACAUGUGCGUUGAACCGGGUAAUAUAUCAUGUUGGGAAAAGGAUCCGUCAAUCAAGUGACAUGAACCACCGAAAUGCCAAUGCUUUGGGGUCUUAAUCAGUUGACCUUUAAUGACUCAUGUGAUGUUUUUGCUGACUUGCUGACUUUGUUUGACUUUCCUUGACUAAAACUGACGAUUGUCACAACUAGGGUCACCCCGGAAGAAGAACACAUCCCGAUUGGAGCUUAUGUCAGAGCACAAAGAGUCGUACCAGACACCCCACUGAAUCCAUCGGAAAAUAUGAUCACCAGAAAAGUGUUGGAUGAAGAGAUUGCUCAGGACGUACAAGCUACCUUGCCAAAUGUAAUUGCUUAUACAUAUGAUGUAAUAUUGGGUGAGUAUGUUGGUGACAUGGACGGAGAUGAGGAAUACUAUGAGUAUAGUACACCAAUUUCGAACAAUGACCCAAGUAUUAUACAACACUCAAGGCAUAAUAACAACAGUGUUUGGAAUGAUUGCAGUUAAAAGAAACUUAUGAAUUAUAGGCCAUCCGCAUUUAAUAAAGAAAUUGAUCCCAUCCUGUGGUCAAUGUGGAUCACGGAGACUGAGGGAACAUUUUAAACUAGCAAGUGUGCGGAUUAGGACAAGAUGAUUUAUGCUGCAAUAUUUUUAAAAAGGGAGGCUAUACAUUAGUGGGUCAUAGUGAAAUAAGUUAGGGUCAUGAGGUGGUCAAGAACAUGUCGUGGUAAAUUAAGUAGUUGGUCGACAAAUUCUUGAGAAUAGAACAAGGGAAUAUGACAAUGAGAGAGUACACUACUAAGUUCAUGGAGAAAGAUAGUUUUGUUAACUUUUAUGUAUCUAUAGAAGAAAGAAGGGUAGAACGCUAUAUUUGGGGAAUAAGAACAAUUGUUCGUUAAUUUGUGGAAAUUUAGAAAGCAGGUACUUUCUAGUGUGCGGUAGAUGUGGCUGAAGGUCGCAAACGUGAACAUAAUCAUCAGGGUGAAGAAAGGGCUUUGGGAAAAAUAAAAUGGAAUGGUAGGAAUAAUGAUUCCAAGAAAAGCAAGAGUUCAGCUCAAGAACUUAUGGUAGAUCAAGGGUCCGGAGUAGAACAAUGUACUAUAUGCAAAAGACUCCAUAAAAUGAGCGUAAUAUGAGGAAUAGAACUUGUUAUAAAUGUGUAAAGAUAGGACAUAUCGCUCUAGAUUGUAAAAUAGGGAAUGUAUGUUAUGGGUGUAGGUUCCCCGAUCAUAUCAGGCCAAACUAUCCUCAUAACAAGGUUAACAAUUACCAANGGAAAGGGAAUCGGUUGGGAGAUGUGAUGACAUAAAUGAUAAGAGUAAAAGGCAAGGCUUUCCACAUGACAGCUCAAUAAGCUCAGAAAACAUAUGUAACUGAUUGUAUAUUAACAAAAGUUUUCUUGUGUUUAACUUGUAUUCCCUCCCCCCCACCUUAAACAUAGGAAAAAGGUCUUGAAAAAUGUAGGGGUAUAAACUCACCUUGAAUGAGUUUGUGGUUGUAUAGAGAGAUGAUGGUGAAGAUCUUCAAGUAAAAAACACUUGAAACUGGAAGAAGACACUUUGAAGACUGUAUUAUCCUAUGAGUUUUAACACAUGAUAAUGUNNNNNNNNNNNNNNNNNNNNNNNNNNNNNNNNNNNNNNNNNNNNNNNNNNNNNNNNNNNNNNNNNNNNNNNNNNNNNNNNNNNNNNNNNNNNNNNNNNNNGUUGCAUGUACACUUAGGAAGUGUUAGAAUGCUCAAACUCCAACAAAAGGAUCCAUCAAUAAAGUGACAUGAACCACCGAAAUCCCAAUGCUUUGGGGUCUUAAUCAGUUGACCUUUAAUGACUCGUGUGAUGUUUUUGCUGACUUGCUGACUUUGUUUGACUUUCCUUGACUAAAACUGACGAUUGUCACAACUAGGGUCACCCNAGAACAACACAUCCCGAUUGGAGCUUAUGUCAGAGCACAAAGAGUCAUACCAGACACCCCACUGAAUCCAUCAGAAAAUAUGAUCACCAGAGAAGUUUUUGAUGAAUAGAUUGCUCUGGACGUACAAGCUACCUUUGCAAAUGUAAUUGCUUAUACAUAUGAUGUAAUAUUGGGUGAGUAUGUUGGUGAUAUGGACGGAGAUGAGGAAUACUACGAGUAUAGUACACCAAUUUCGAACCAUGACCCAAGUAUUAUACAACACUCAAGGCAUAAUAACAACAGUGUUUGGAAUGAUUGCAGUUAAAAGACACUUAUGAAUUAUAGGCCAUCCGCAUUUAAUAAAGAAAUUGAUCCCAUCCUGUGGUCAAUGUGGAUCACGGAGACUGAGGGAACAUUUUAUACUAGCAAGUGUGCGGAUGAGGACAAGAUGAUUUAUGCUGCCAUAUUUUUAAAAAGGGAGGCUAUACAUUAGUGGGUCAUAGUGAAAGAAGUUAGGGUCACGAGGUGGUCAAGAAAAUGCCGUGGGAAAUUAAGUAGUUGGAGGACGAAUUCUUGAGAAUAGAACAAGGGAAUAUGACAAUGAGAGAGUACACUACUAAGUUCAUGGAGAAAGAUAGUUUUGUUAACUUUUAUGUAUCUAUAGAAGAAAGAAGCGUAGAACACUAUAUUUGGGGAAUAAGAACAAUUGUUCGUUAAUUUGUGGAAAUUUAGAAAGCAGGUACUUUAUAGUGUGCGGUAGAUGUGGCUGAAGGUCACAAACGUGAACAUAAUCAUCAGGGUGAAAAAAGGGCUUUGGGAAAAAUAAAAUGGAAGGGUAGGAAUAAUGAUUCCAAGAAAAGCAAGAGUUCAGCUCAAGUAGUUAUAGUAGAUCAAGGGUCCGGAGUAGAACAAUGUACUAUAUGCAAAAGACUCCAUAAAAUGAGCGUAAUAUGAGGAAUAGAACUUGUUAUAAAUGUGCAAAGAUAGGACAUAUCGGUCUAGAUUGUAAAAUAGGGAACGUAUGAUAUGGUGUAGGUUCCCCGAUCAUAUCAGGCCAAACUAUCCUCGUAACAAGGUUAAUAAUUACCAACACAUGGUGGUAGGGAAACGGAAUCGGUUGGGAGAUNNNNNNNNNNNNNNNNNNNNNNNNNNNNNNNNNNNNNNNNNNNNNNNNNNNNNNNNNNNNNNNNNNNNNNNNNNNNNNNNNNNNNNNNNNNNNNNNNNNNCUUUCCUUGACUAAAACUGACGAUUGUCACAACUAGGGUCACCCCAGAAGAACAACACAUCCCGAUUGGAGCUUAUGUCAGAGCACAAAGAGUCGUACCAGACACCCCACUGAAUACAUCAGAAAAUAUGAUCACCAGAAAAGUGUUGAAUGAAGAGAUUGCUCAGGACGUACAAGCUACCUUGCCAAAUGUAAUUGCUUAUACAUAUGAUGUAAUAUUGGGUGAGUCUGUUGGUCACAUAGACAGAGAUGAGGAAUACUACGAGUAUAGUACACCAAUUUCGAACCAUGACCCAAGUAUUAUACAACACUCAAGGCAUAAUAACAAUAGUGUUUGGAAUGAUUGCAGUUAAAAUACACUUAUGAAUUAUAGGCCAUCCGCAUUUAAUAAAGAAAUUGAUCCCAUCCUGUGGUCAAUGUGGAUCACGGAGACUGAGGGAACUUUUUAUACUAGUAAAUGUGCGGAUGAGGACAAGAUGAUUUAUGCUGCCAUAUUUUUAAAAAGGGAGGCUAUACAUUAGAGGGUCAUGGUGAAAGAAGUUAGGGUCAUGAGGUGGUCAAGAAGAUGUCUUGGGAAAUUAAGCAGUUAGAGGAAGAAUUCUUGAGAUUAGAACAAGGGAAUAUGAAAAUGAGAGAGUACACUACUAAGUUCAUGGAGAAAGAUAGUCUUGUUAACGUUUAUGUAUCUAUAGAAGAAAGAAGGGUAGAAUGCUAUAUUUGGGGAAUAAGAAGAAUUGUUCGUUAAUUUGUGGAAAUUUAGAAAGCAGGUACUGUCUAGUGUGUGGUAGAUGUGGCUGAAGCUCGCAAACGUGAACAUAAUCAUCAGGGUGAAAAAAGGUCUUUGGGAAAAAUAAAAUGGAAUGGUAGGAAUAAUGAUUCCAAGAAAAGCAAGAGUUCUGCUCAAGAACUUAUGGUAGAUCAAGGGUCCAGAGCAGAUCAAUGUACUAUAUGCAAAAGACUCCAUAAAAUGAGCGUAAUAUGAGGAAUAGAACUUGUUAUAAAUGUGUAAAGAUAGGACAUAUCCCUCUAGAUUGUAAAAUAGGUAAAGUAUGUUAUGGGUGUAGGUUCCCCGAUCAUAACAGGCCAAACUAUCCCCGUCACAAGGUUAACAAUUACCAACACAUGGUUGUAGGGAAAGGGAAUCGGUUGGGAGAUGUGAGGGCAUAAAUGACAAGAUUAAAAGGCAACGCUUUCCACAUGGCAGCUCAUUAAGCUCAGGAAAACAUAUGUAACUGAUUGUAUAUUAACAAAAGUUUUCUUGUGUUAACUUGUAUCCCCCCCCACCUUAAACACAGGAAAACGGUCAUGAAAAAUGUAGGGGCAUAAACUCACCUUGUAUGAGUUUGUGGUUGUAUAAAGAGGUGAUGGCGAAGAUCUUCAAGUCAAAAACACUUGAAAGUGGUAGAAAACUCUUUGAUGAUUGUGUUAUCCUAUGAGUUUUAACACAUGAUAAUGUGUGUAAAUGCGAUGAAACUAAAACAAAAGAGUGUAUCACACAUUAGAUUAACAAGGAAUAUUUACCAACAUUUCUGGAAACUAACUUGAAAAAAAUGCUUGGAAGGUAGAACUUCAUCUUUAAAGAAAACAAUGAUGUAGAAAAUGUUGAACUGAUGAAAUUCAAAGGGUGGUUGGAGGAGUUGUUGGAAAGAGUUAAAUAGUGGGAAAAUAGGGUAGGGUGAAGUGACAUGUGCGUUGAACCGAGUAAUAUAUCAUGUUGGGAAAAGGAUCCAUCAAUCAAGUGAAAUGAACCACCGAAAAUCCCAAUGCUUUGCGGUCUUAAUCAGUUGACCUUUAAUGACUCGUGUGAUGUUUUUGCUGACUUGCUGACUUUGUUCGACUUUCCUUGACCAAAACUGACGAUUGUCACAACUAGGGUCACCCCGGAAGAAGAACACAUCCUGAUUGGAGCUUAUGACAGAGCACAAAGAGUCGUACCAGACACCCCACUGAAUCCAUCGGAAAAUAUGAUCACCAGAGAAGUUUUGGAUGAAUACAUUGCUCAGGACUUACAAGCUACCUUGCCAAAUGAAAUUGCUUAUACAUAUGAUGUAAUAUUGGUGAGUAUGUUGGUGACAUGGAUGGAGAUGAGGAAUACUAUGAGUAUAGUACACCAAUUUGGAACCAUUACCCAAGUUUUAUACAACACUCAAGGCAUCAUAACAACAGUGUUUGUAAAGAUUGUAGUUACAAGACAUUUAUGAAUUAUAGGCCAUCCGCAUUUAAUAACGAAAUUGAUCCCAUACUGUGGUCAAUGUGGAUCACGGAGACUGAGGGAACAUUUUAAACUAGCAAAUGUGCGGAUGAGGACAAGAUGAUUUAUGCUGCCAUAUUUUUAAAAAGGGAGGCUAUACAUUAGUGGGUCAUGGUGAAAGAAGUUAGGGUCAUGAGGUGGUCAAGAAGAUGUCUUGGGAAAUUAAGCAGUUAGAGGAAGAAUUCCUGAGAUUAGAAUAAGGGAAUAUGACAAUGAGAGAGUACACUACUAAGUUCAUGGAGAAACAUAGUCUUGUUAAAUUUUAUGUAUCUAUAGAAGAAAGAAGGGUAGAACGAUAUAUUUGGGGAAUAUGAACAAUUGUUCGUUAAUUUGAGGAAAUUUAGAAAGCAGGUACUUUCUAGUGUGCGGUAGACGUUGCUAAAGGUCGCAAACGUGAACAUAAUCAUCAGGGUGAAAAAACGUCAUUGAGAAAAAUAAAAUGGAAUGGUAGGAAUAAUGAUUCCAAGAAAAGCAAGAGUUCAGCUCAAGAAUUUAUGGUAGAUCAAGGGUCCAGAGCAGAACAAUGUACUAUAUGCAAAAGACGCCAUAAAAUGAGCGUAAUAUGAGGAAUAGAACUUGUUAUAAAUGUGUAAAGAUAGGACAUAUCCCUCUAGAUUGUAAAAUAAGGAAAGUAUGUUAUGGGUGUAGGUUCCCCGAUCAUAUCAGGCUAAACUAUCACCGUAACAAGAUUAACAAUUACCAACACAUGGUGGUAGGGAAAGGGAAUCGGUUGGGAGAUGUGAGGGCAUAAAUGACAAGAGUAAAAGGCAAGGCUUUCCACAUGACAGCUCAUUAAGCUCAGGAAAACAUAUGUAACUGAUUGUAUAUUAACAAAAGUUUUCUUGUGUUUAACUUGUAUCCCCCCCACACCUUAAAUACAAGAAAAAGGUCUUGAAAAAUGUAUGGGCAUACACUCACCUUGAAUGAGUUUGUGGUUGUAUAGAGAGGUGCGGAUGAGUACAAGAUGAUUUAUGCUGCAAUAUUUUUAAAAAGGGAGGCUAUACAUUAGUGGGUCAUGGUGAAAGAAUUCGGGGUCAUGAGGUGGUCAAGAACAUGUCGUGGGAAAUUAAGCAGUUGGAGUAAGAAUUCUUGAGAUUAGAACAAGGGAAUAUGACAAUGAGAGAGUACACUACUAAGUUCACGGAGAAAGAUAGUUUUGUUAACUGUUAUGUAUCUAUAGAAGAAAGAAGGGUAGAACGCUAUAUUUGGGGAAUAAGAACAAUUGUUCGUUAAUUUGUGGAAAUUUAGACAACAGGUACUUUCUAGCGUGCGGUAGAUGUGGCUGAAGGUCGCAAACAUGAACAUAAUCAUCACGGUGAAAAAAGGGCUUUGGGAAAAAUAAAAUAGAAUGGUAGGAAUAAUGAUUCCAAGAAAAGCAAGAGUUCACCUCAAGAACUUAUGGUAGAUCAAGGGUCCGGAGUAGAACAAUGUACUAUAUGCAAAAGAUUCCAUAAAAUGAGCGUAAUAUGAGGAAUAGAACUUGUUAUAAAUGUGAAAAGAUAGGACAUAUUGCUCUAGAUUGUAAAAUAGGGAAAGUAUGUUAUGGGUGUAGGUUCCCCGAUCAUAUCAGGCCAAACUAUCCCCGUAACAAGGUUAACAAUUACAGACACAUGGUGGUAGGGAAAGGGAAUCGGUUGGGAGAUGUGAGAGCAUAAAUGACAAGAGUAAAAGGCAAGGCUUUCCACAUGACAGCUCAAUAAGCUCAGGAAAAUAUAUGUAACUGAUUGUAUAUUAGCAAAAGUUUUCUUGUGUUAGACUUGUAUCCCCCCCCCCCACACACACUUCUUAAACACAGGAAAAAGGUCUUCAAAAAUGUAGGGGUAUGAACUCACCUUGAAUGAGUUUGUAGUUGUAAAGAGAGGUGAUGGCGAAGAUCUUCAAGUCAAAAACACUUGAAAGUGGUAGAAAACUCUUUGAAGAUUGUAUUAUCCUAUGAGUUUUAACAUAUGAUAAUGUGUGUAAAUACGAUGAAACUAAAAUAAAAGAGUGUAUCACACAUUACAUUAACAAGGAAUAUUUUCCAAGAUUUCUGGAACUAACUUGAAAAAAAUGCUUGGAAGGUAGAGCUUGAUCUUUAGAGAAAACAAGGAUAUAGAUAAUGUUGAACUGAUGAAAUUCGAAGGGUGGUUGGAGGAGUUCUUGGAACGAUUUAAAUAGAGCGAAUAUAAGGUAGGGUGAAGUGACAUGUGCGUUGAAUCGGGUAAUAUAUCAUGUUGGGAAAAGGAUCCAUCAAUCAAGUGACAUGAACCACCGAAAUCACAAUGAUUUGGUGUCUUAAUCAGUUGACCUUUAAUGACCCAAGUGAUGUUUUUGCUGACUUGCUGACUUUGUUUGACUUUCCUUGACCAAAACUGAUCAUAGUCACAACUAGGGUCACCCCGGAAGGAGAACAUAUCACGAUUGGAGCUUAUGUCAGAGCACAAAGAGUCGAACAAAACACCCCACUGAAUCCAUCGGAAAAUAUGAUCACCAGAUAAGUGUUGGUUGAAGAGAUUGCUCAGGACGUACAAGCUACCUUGCCAAAUAUACUUGCUUAUACAUAUGAUGUAAUAUUGGGUGAGUAUGUUUCUGACAUGGACGGAGAUGAGGAAUACUACGAGUAUAGUACACCAAUUUCGAACCAAGACCCAAGUAUUAUACAACACUCAAGGCAUAAUAACAACAGUGAUUGGAAAGAUUGUAGUUACAAGAGAUUUAUGAAUUAUAGGCCAUCUGCAUUUAAUAAAGAAAUUGAUCCCAUCUUGUGGUCAAUGUGGACCACAGAGACCGAGGGAACAUUUUGUACUAGCAAGUGUGCGGAUGAGGACAAGAUGAUUUAUGCUGCAAUAUUUUUAAAAAAGGGAGCCUAUACAUUAGUGGGUCAUGGUUAAAGAAGUUAGGGUCAUGAGGUGGUCAAGAAGAUGUCAUGGGAAAUUAAGCAGUUGGAGGAAGAAUUCUUGAGAUUAGAACAAGGGAAUAUGACAUUGAGAGAGUACACUACUAAGUUCUUAGAGAAAGAUAGUUUUGUUAACUUUUAUGUAUCUAAAGAAGAAAGAAGGGUAGAAUGAUAUAUUUAGGGAAUAAGAACAAUUGUUCAUUAAUUUGUGGAAAUUUAGAAAGUAGGUACUUUCCAGUGUGCGGUAGAUGUGGCUGAAUGUCUCAAACAUGAACAUAAUCAUUAGGGUGAAAAAAGGACUUUGGGAAAAAUAAAAUGGAAUGGUACGAAUAAUGGUUCCUAGAAAAGCAAGAGUUCAGCUCAAGAACGGAUGGUAGAUCAAGGCUCCUGAGUAGAACAAUGUACUAUAUGCAAAAGAUUCUAUAAAAUGAACGUUAUAUGAUGAAUAUAACUUGUUAUAAAUGUGCAAAGAUAGGACAUAUUGCUCUAGAUUGUAAAAUAGGGAAAGUAUGUUAUGGGUGUAGGUUCCCCGAUCAUAUCGGCCCAAACUAUCCCCAUAACAAGGUUAACAAUUACCAACACAUGGUGGUAGGGAAAGGGAAUCGGUUGGGAGAUGUGAGGGCAUAAAUGAGAAGAGUAAAAGUCAAGGCUUUCCACAUGACAGCUCAAUAAGCUCAGGAAAACAUAUGUAACUGAUUGUAUAUUAACAAAAGUUUUCUUGUCUUUAACUUGUAUCCCCCCCCCCCCACACCUUAAACAUUGGAAAAAGGUCUUGAAAAAUGUACGGGUAUAAACUCACCUUGAAUGAGUUUGUGGUUGUUUAGAGAGGUGAUGGCAAAGAUCUUCAAGUCAAAAACACUUAAAAGUGGUAGAAAACCCUUUGAAGAUUGUAUUAUCCUAUGAGUUUUAACACAUGAUAAUGUGUGUAAAUGCGAUGAAACUAAAAUAAAAGAGUGUAUCACACAUUAGUUAACAAGGAAUAUUUACCAAGAUUUCUGGAAACUAACUUGAAAAAAAAUGCUUGGAAGGUAGAACUUGAUCUUUAGAGAAAACAACGACGUAGAAAAUGUUGAACUGAUGAAAUUCGAAGGGUGGUUGGAGGAGUUCUUGGAACGAGGUAAAUAGAGGGAAAAUAGGGUAGGGUGAAGUGACAUGUGCGUUGAACCGGGUAAUAUAUCAUGUUGGGAAAAGGAUCCAUCAAUCAAGUGACAUGAACCACCGAAAUCCCAAUGCUUUGGGGUCUUAAUCAGUUGACCUUUAAUGACUCGUGUGAUGUCUUUGCUGACUUGC